AUACGGAGGAUCCGAGCGUUAUCCGGAUUUAUUGGGUUUAAAGGGAGCGUAGGUGGAUUGUUAAGUCAGUUGUGAAAGUUUGCGGCUCAACCGUAAAAUUGCAGUUGAAACUGGCAGUCUUGAGUACAGUAGAGGUGGGCGGAAUUCGUGGUGUAGCGGUGAAAUGCUUAGAUAUCACGAAGAACUCCGAUUGCGAAGGCAGCUCACUGGACUGCAACUGACACUGAUGCUCGAAAGUGUGGGUAUCAAACAGGAUUAGAUACCCUGGUAGUCCACACAGUAAACGAUGAAUACUCGCUGUUUGCGAUAUACAGUAAGCGGCCAAGCGAAAGCAUUAAGUAUUCCACCUGGGGAGUACGCCGGCAACGGUGAAACUCAAAGGAAUCGACGGGG
rnacentral:rRNA from 1 species